AACGAACGUUAGCGGCGCGCUUAACACAUGCAAGUCGAGCGAGAAAGGGGCAACCCCGGUAAAGCGGCGCACGGGUGAGUAACACGUAGGUAAUCUACCCUCGGGUGGAGGAUAACUUUCCGAAAGGAAGGCUAAUACUGCAUGAGACCACGACCUCGAAAGGGGAUGGGGUCAAAGCCGGCCUCUGUACACAAGCUGGCGCCUGAGGAUGAGCCUGCGGCCCAUCAGCUAGUUGGUAGGGUAAUGGCCUACCAAGGCGAAGACGGGUAGCUGGUCUGAGAGGAUGAUCAGCCACACUGGAACUGAGACACGGUCCAGACUCCUACGGGAGGCAGCAGUGGGGAAUCUUGCGCAAUGGGCGAAAGCCUGACGCAGCGACGCCGCGUGAGUGAUGAAGGCCUCGGUUGUAAGACUCUGUGGAGAGGGACGGAAGUAAGUAGUUGGUCGUAACAUCCAGCAUGAUGACGGUACCGUCUUUA
rnacentral:rRNA from 1 species